rnacentral:rRNA from 1 species
UUGACCUCAAAUCAGGUAGGACUACCCGCUGAACUUAAGCAUAUCAAUAAGCGGAGGAAAAGAAACUAACAAGGAUUCCCCUAGUAACUGCGAGUGAAGCGGGAAGAGCUCAAAUUUAAAAUCUGGCGGUUCUUGACCGUCCGAGUUGUAAUCUAGAGAAGUGUUACCCGUGCUGGACCGUGUACAAGUCUCCUGGAAUGGAGCAUCAUAGAGGGUGAGAAUCCCGUCUUUGACAUGGACUGCCUGCACGUCUUGGUGCGCUCUCGAAGAGUCGAGUUGUUUGGGAAUGCAGCUCAAAAUGGGUGGUAAAUGCCAUCUAAAGCUAAAUAUUGGCGAGAGACCGAUAGCGAACAAGUACCGUGAGGGAAAGAUGAAAAGAACUUUGGAAAGAGAGUUAAACAGUACGUGAAAUUGCUGAAAGGGAAACGCUUGAAGUCAGUCGCGUUGGCUAGAAAUCAGCCUUGCUUUUGCUUGGUGUACUUUCUUGUUGACGGGUCAGCAUCAGUUUCGACCGCUGGAUAAGGAUUUUGGGAAUGUGGCAUCCUUGGAUGUGUUAUAGCCCAUUGUCGCAUGCAGUGGUGGGGAUUGAGGAACUCAGCACGCCGCAAGGCCGGGUCUCUGACCACGCUCGUGCUUAGGAUGCUGGCAUAAUGGCUUUAAUCGA